rnacentral:rRNA from 2 species
AGGUACUCCGGGGAUAACAGGCUGAUACCGCCCAAGAGUUCAUAUCGACGGCGGUGUUUGGCACCUCGAUGUCGGCUCAUCACAUCCUGGGGCUGAAGUAGGUCCCAAGGGUAUGGCUGUUCGCCAUUUAAAGUGGUACGCGAGCUGGGUUUAGAACGUCGUGAGACAGUUCGGUCCCUAUCUGCCGUGGGCGCUGGAGAACUGAGGGGGGCUGCUCCUAGUACGAGAGGACCGGAGUGGACGCAUCACUGGUGUUCGGGUUGUCAUGCCAAUGGCACUGCCCGGUAGCUAAAUGCGGAAGAGAUAAGUGCUGAAAGCAUCUAAGCACGAAACUUGCCCCGAGAUGAGUUCUCCCUGAGACUUAGAGUCUCCUGAAGGAACGUUGAAGACGACGACGUUGAUAGGCCGGGUGUGUAAGCGCAGCGAUGCGUUGAGCUAACCGGUACUAAUGAACCGUGAGGCUUAACCUU